GGGGCUAUAGCUCAGCUGGGAGAGCGCCUGCCUUGCACGCAGGAGGUCAGCGGUUCGAUCCCGCUUGGCUCCA
rfam:Firmicutes bacterium MLFW-2 MLFW-2_Contig_27_85X, whole genome shotgun sequence.